GGGGGAACUGGGGGGACUGGGAGGGAGUGGGAGGGACUGGGACGAGCGGGGGGAACUGGGAGGGACUGGGAAGGAGUGGGGGGGACUGGGAGGGACUGGGAGGGACUGGGAAGGAGUGUGGGGGACUGGGAGGAGUGGGAGGGACUGGGUGGACUGGGGGGGACUGGGAGGGACUGGGAUGAGUGGGGGGAACUGGGGCGGACUGGGAGGAGUGGGGGGAACUGGGAGGGACUGGGACGAGCGGGGGGAACUGGGAGGGACUGGGAGGAGUGGGGGGAACUGGGGGCACUGGGAGGGACUGGGAUGAGUGGGGGGAACUGGACUGGGGGGAACUGGGGGGACUGGGAGGGAGUGGGAGGGACUGGGACGAGCGGGGGGAACUGGGAGGGACUGGGAGGAGUUGGGAGAAACGGUCGGACUGGGAGGGAGCGGUAGGGACUAGCGGGAACUGGAGGGGCCGGGGCAACCGGGAGGCAACUGGGAGGCAACCGGGAGGCAACUGGGAGGCAACUGGUCGCGGCGGGCGCUCACCAGACCACCUCGCCCACGUUGGAGGAGAUGAGGUAGCGGAUGAACUGCUUCAUGUUGUUGUAGAUGGCCCGGCCCUCCUCCACGGCCGCCACGAUGGUGGAGAAGUUGUCGUCGGC